AGAUUAAGUUAUUAAGGGCGCACGGUGGAUGCCUUGGCACUAGAAGCCGACGAAGGACGUUACUAACGACGAUAUGCUUUGGGGAGCUGUAAGUAAGCUUUGAUCCAGAGAUUUCCGAAUGGGGAAACCCAGCACGAGUUAUGUCGUGUUAUCUGCAUGUGAAUACAUAGCAUGCAAGAAGGCAGACCCGGAGAACUGAAACAUCUUAGUACCCGGAGGAAGAGAAAGAAAAAUCGAUUCCCUGAGUAGCGGCGAGCGAAACGGGAAGAGCCCAAACCAAUAAGCUUGCUUAUUGGGGUUGUAGGACACUCUGUACGGAGUUACAAAAGAAUUUGUUAGACGAAUAACCUGGAAAGGUUAAUCAGAGAAGGUAAUAAUCCUGUAGUCGAAAACGAAUUCUCUCUUGAGUGGAUCCUGAGUACGACGGAGCACGUGAAAUUCCGUCGGAAUCUGGGAGGACCAUCUCCUAAGGCUAAAUACUCUAGUGACCGAUAGUGAACCAGUACCGUGAGGAAAGGUGAAAAGUACCCGGAAGGGGAGUGAAGAGAACUUGAAACCGUGUGCUUACAAGUAGUCAGAGCCGUUAAUGGGUGAUGGCGUGCCUUUUGUAGAAUGAACCGGCGAGUUACAUCUGAUGCAAGGUUACAGAAAUGUGAGCCGUGAAGCGAAAGGAGUCUGAAUAGGGGCGAAUGAGUAUUUGGUCGUAGACCCGAAACCAGGUGAUCUACCCUUGGUCAGGUUGAAA
rnacentral:rRNA from 1 species